rnacentral:rRNA from 2 species
AACUUUCAACAACGGAUCUCUUGGUUCUCGCAUCGAUGAAGAACGCAGCGAAAUGCGAUAAGUAGUGUGAAUUGCAGAAUUCAGUGAAUCAUCGAAUCUUUGAACGCACAUUGCGCCUCCUGGUAUUCCGGGAGGCAUGCCUGUUCGAGCGUCAUU